GGAUCCUACGGGGCGCAGCAGUGGGGAAUAUUGGGCAAUGGGCGCAAGCCUGACCCAGCAACGCCGCGUGAAGGAAGAAGGCUUUCGGGUUGUAAACUUCUUUUCUCAGGGACGAAGAAAGUGACGGUACCUGAGGAAUAAGCCACGGCUAACUACGUGCCAGCAGCCGCGGUAAUACGUAGGUGGCAAGCGUUAUCCGGAUUUACUGGGUGUAAAGGGCGUGUAGGCGGGACUGCAAGUCAGAUGUGAAAACCACGGG
rnacentral:rRNA from 1 species